GCUGCUAAUGGUGAAAGAGAUUCAAACUGAGAAGCUCCAGCAGUUUGCUUUUGCCUGAGCCUCCUGGAAAGACAAGACUCUCCUCUCAUGUCCCUUGCCUCUCUAUUGAGUUAGCUGAAUGCAGAUUAUUUCUUGGUAUUGUUAACAGAAAAAAAUUAACUAGAAGUGUUUACAAUCCUUAAAAAUUCUUUCAUACCAUAAUAAAUACAAAAUUGAUCAAAACCAGCCAUUUAAAAAAGUGAGGAGAGAAAAGUUUAUCCAUUUGUUUGAAAUGUCUAUGCAAAUCAAAACAGGUUCACAAAUGUGUAUCUGAGAGCAAAAAAAAGUUUCAAAGCGCCCAAGUAUUAGUUUAGGAAAUUCUGGAAGAGGUUGCUGGAUCAGGCCCCAAAACAUAUUACAGUCUUACUUUUUAUUCCAUUUGUUAAAAUACCAAAUGCUCGCUCUGUGAUAAAGUAUGUAAAUUAGCAUAGCAUGGAAGAGGCAGACAACUCAAAUUACAGUACAGCUGUGACUCUCGGCAAGUUUGUUUCCCACUCCGCCCCUUACCCCCCAUAGGACACCUGUAUUUGUCCGUUGGUGACUUGUAAGAGUUUGCGCUGAAUCAAUUAUCACUUACUGAAAGCCUUGAAAAAAAGGAAUACAGCUCAACUAUGCUUCAUUGAAAAUUUGCAAUAAAAUCACCUAGAGUACAUUAAUACAACUGGGCUUAUUAGAAACAAAGGGUUUUAUACGUAUGCAAAAAGUAAGGGGAACUUGAUUGAAAAAUAACAGAAUUUUUGUUUGCUUUGUGGCUUUGUUUUGAUCGUGCUUAUUUGUUCAACAAGCAGUGUGUCACCAGAUCAUUUGUAAAGCUAACAGUGACACCAAGAAGAGGACAAAAACUAGGGAGAAGCAAUCUUUGGAAUGUCUUGUGCCCAUUGUGCGGCACAGUUUUAAUUGAACAUCCAACAGCAAUGGAAGCAGGAAUGUAUUGGUGGAAUUUGCAGAGGCCACAAGGAGGAGAAUGAUGAGAGCAAGAAUCCAAAGGAAGACUGGAAAACUUUAAAAAAUGAACUAAAUGGCCUUAACAGACCUGAAGAAUAAAAAUGGGAUGACGUUAGAGUACAGCCGGACGGACAUAAAGCUAAUUUUAUUUCCAUCUUGUCUUUUGUUAUCUGUUCUUGUAAAAAGACAUAAUUCCCAAAAGAGCUGUUAAUUUUUCCUACAUUCCUGUUCUGGAAACACACCACCGUCUAUAAACACUGAGUUUUAUCAGGACCGUCCUAGAUGCUAGGAAGAGGGAGGGCAGUGAUGUGAUUGCAAAUUUUGAGAGGCAGGCAUUUUCAAUUGUCUUCAUAACUACGCCACCAAGGAGAAUCUAAAAACACAGGUACCAACUUGAAAUUACUCCCCUCUUCCUUUUCUGUUGAAGUGAAAGAGAAGGCCAUCGGACAGAUGCUGCUGUCCGUCAUUUCCACAUUGAAGUUUCAGUGAUCUGUCCUUGUAUCUUUCUGAUGCCCUCCAUGCUGGGAAGGACAACACUGGGGAACACCUUGGCUGCAACGGAUCUCUUGAUCUCAUCUCCCCCCCCCCCGCCCCCCAAUCUAUAUAGAAAUGGUUCCUGCUUCACUCAAAGAGAUCUGGAGAGAAAGAGAGAGCUGUUCAGCCCCUACUGAGGGCCCCCGGCAUCAAGCCAAGGACCACUCCACCCUCCCUUCUGGGCAACCAGCUGUUCCCAUCAAACUGCCAGCUGUGUCAAAAUACUCAGAACAGCAGUCCAUUGUAAUGUGGGACUGGAGCAUUGCCAGCACAUGGACGAGGAGAAGUUUGUGUGUGAAAGAGAGGGAGCACAAUUCUUUCUUCUAAGCCCCCUGUUUCUGUAUCUCAGGCCCCCAUAGUGAGGUCCUUUCCUCCCCCCACGUCCACCCU